ACCAAGCACACAAACACAAAAAAAACCCAACCACAAUAAUAAUGGAAAAAGAAUAAUAAUGGCAGGCUUUGUUUUUUGUCUCCCUCCCUGUCUGUUUUUUAGUGCUCCCUUCCCCUGGCUGCCUGGGCACGGUGGUGAUUUAGGCCGGUUCGGUGUUGUUGCUGGAUGUUACACGGAUAUGUGUGUGUGUGCGUGUGUGUCCCCGGCCGGAGCUGCUCGCUCCGCUCCCCCCCCCCCUCUCCCUCUCUGUUUCUGUCCCCAUUAAAUUAUUAGUUGACUCAUCACUACUCCUCCUCCUGCUGCUGCCGCCGCCGUCCCCUGCUCACAGCCUCUCCUCCUCUCCGCUACCGCUCGCUGCCGCCGCUGCCGCUGCUUCUUCUUCCUCCUCCUCAUUUUAAUACAAAAUAACACCGAGGCCACCACCGGCUUCUUUUUUUUUUUUUUUUUUUUUUUUUUUUUUUUUUUUUUUUUUUUUUCCACAGCCCCGAAAACGGGAGGAGGAGGAGGAGGAGGAGGACGCAGCCUCCCUGCUGCUGCCCGGAGCCCUUCCCCGGCGGCCCCGGAUCAUCCGACGCGUCCUGGGAGGGAGAGAGAGAAAGUGGCAGAGGAGCAGGAGGAGGAGGAGGCGGCGGCGGUGAAGGCGUGGGGGAAGGGAGGCGGGAGUGGGGGGGCAGAGCGGAGGGGCCGCAGCGGGGGAGCGGAGCGGAGCGGGCCGAGCCGGGCCGGGCCAGGGGGGGCCGCCGGUAGGUGAGCGGCGGGGGGGCCGAGGGAAGAGGGCGUGCGGCUUCCGGGCGCGCACGAAUUUGCAGGCAGCUGGGUACGGGUGAGGCGGCCCUGCCUGCGCCGCGCCGCCACAAUGCCCAGCGCGCAGCGCAGCGCCGCGCCGCGCAUCGCCCGCAGGCGGCAGAUGGGGGCCUGCGGCGGCGGUGGGGGAGAAGAACGUCGGGGAGGUGGGAGGGAGAGGAGGAAGAGGAGGAGGGGCGGGGGUGAAGGUUGAACAAUAUCCUGCCGGCGUGCUCAGCGCGGCCCCCGCCCCGCCCCGCCUCGUGGAGCUGUGCGGUGGGCAGGUGCACGGCAGCAGUGCGGGGCUGCGGGCGGGGGAGCGAGCGGGGCAGGAAGUUUGCUCUCCCCCCUCCCACCUUUAUACCAACAGAGCUGAAGGAAGAGCGACGGGCGCGCCGCCAACGCACGGCGGAGCCCCCGCACCCGGAGGGGUCACCCCGCAGCGCCCCGCCGGGCCCUGAGGCGCCGCCGCUGCAGCGCGGGACGGGACGGGCACCGGCGGCCCGCGGAGCGGGGCGAAGCCUGGAAGGUGGUAACGCGGGGACAAAAUCAAUAGCUGCCAGCCAGACGUAGGGCUUCCCACAAUGCACUCGGGAAAAAGUAACCCAACUAGACAAACUUGAACGCAACAAGUUUGUACAAGCCGCGAGAUAAGGGGGAAAUUAAACUUCUUUAUUGAUAAACUGCGGUCUGUUUGCCUAGGCUGUGUCUGAAAAGGAGAGUUGCAUCAUCGAGCAAAGAAGGGAUGAACUGUGCUACACAAGCAGACGCUCAGCCAGAAUAGUUGGGGUAGCAAAUUAGAGAAGAAUUCAUGAACUGCGCACACAAACUUGAAGGAGCAAAAGCAGAGGAGUGGGGAGGCUGAUUAGCAUAGCAUAGCCUCUGCGCAAAGAACAGGCAAAUCAAUACUUAUAGGAAGAGCUAAAUUAUCACUAUGCAUGUUACUAUAAAACAAGAGGAAUGUAUCGGCUGGGUAAAGAAAGAAGCUGACGUUUACCGAAAUAAGCACAGACAGCACGGAGAGAAAAGGAAAAUGAUAGUAGGGUGAAAUACAUGAAAUAUUUAUUAUAUGCAGCAAGGCACAAAAUAGAUUAUAAUCUCAAAAGCAAAGAAAUGAAAUGCUCAAAAAUGAGUACAGUGUUACAUAAUGCUGUUAGUCAAAGCAGAGAAGUGGAGGUGGAAUGCAUAGGAAACAUGAAAAGUUAUACAGAUGUUGCAUGUCCUGAAAAAGGUUACUAAGACUGCUACCGAGAGUGCUGAAAGGGAAAAAAAAAAAAAAAAACCCAAGAAACACGUUUCACAAAGAAAAACAAGGGAAAAUGUCGAUGACACCUUCCAUAAUACAUGAUCAAGGGAUAAAUGCCUCGUGGUUGUUUAUUUAGAAACCUAUCUUUUUCCAAGACGGUAGACUGAAUGUUAUUCAGUCCCUCCAAAAAAUAAUAACAAUAAUAAUAAUGAAAAAAGAAACAAAGAAUAAUUAUUUCCCAAUAUAUCUGAACCUUUGGAGGAAAGAUAGUGUUAACUCGAAGAAUUAAAACUUCAUGAGCACAAUGGAAAGUAUCAGCAUCGUAUCAGUUUUGAUCUGUUCCAGGAAAGCCUGGUACAGUCAUCUUCAGCAGCAGCAACACCAACCACGGAAGGAGCAAAACGUGAAAGCAGAGGGGGUUUGGGCUGGGUGACUGCUGCCUGCAGCACAAUGGACAGAAGGGGCAGUGAGAGUAAUUGGAGAGAUGCAGAGCUGGUUAGAAUAGAACAGAUAUUUAAAAAUACGAUUUGGAACAAGAUUAAGGACUAGAGCACCACCCUACAAAAGUGAUUACCGGAUACGACAAUAACAACAACCAAAAAACAAAAAGAUUAGAAUCUGCUCUAAAGUAACUUCUGCUUUGGUGUCACAAACCAUUCCCUUCACGGUCAAAAACCCUUAAAAUGUUCAGAGUAAAACAAAGUGAUUAAUCUAAAAAGCAGAGACGCUGAAUUAAAGGAGCAGGGAGAUAACAAUCUGAUAAUACAGGAGCACAGAAGGCCUAAUAAUGAUAUUAUUAUGCACACUAACCAAACACCGACAAACAAAUAUUCUGUUAAUUAUAUAAUCAUGCAUAUGCUUCCUAUGCUUGAGAUAAAUGAUUACAGAAAAUCACUCUCUUCUUGAAACUGCAUAUAUGUGCUAAGCCCUGUAUGCUCCCUGCAACACGGAUUAAUUUAAUUUCUGCAUAUCACCUAUGUCUGGGAAAGUUAUUUGCCGCAGACUUGGCAGGCGGAGCGUGGAAUGCGGGCUUUGACCAGCAAGCAUGGGUAACAGGGCUGCUGCGUCCUGACGUACAGGCAGCAAUCAGAUCUCUCUUAUCAAUACCCAACUACUUGGAAUAAACUCCAGAUAAAGAUAUCUGAUUUUCAUUUGACCUAUUCCAAUUUACACUUCACUGUGUCAACUUUGAUAUUAAAAUGUUCCACUAGAAUAAAGAUAUUUAUAAUAAAAACAUAUAUAAAGAAGAGAAGAUGAAUAGAUAUUGUCAUGGAUACGUAUGCAGGCAAUCAUUUAAACAUGCAGCAAGAGUAACAUCACAUUUUUCAUAGCUUCCAGUCAACAAACGAUGGACAAAUACAUGCUUAAUAAAGCUUAGUAAUCUUUAAAAAAGUUGCUGCACUGUAUAUCUGAUACGUAAAUGCAUCUCACGCUAGGUUAUGCUGAAAUAAGACAAAUAGUGAAAAAGUUGGACUGCGUUUCUUCAACCCCACAAUGAAUUAACUCCUGAGCAGCCAUGUCAGUGGCUGCAAAACAGAACGAGUUCUCUGCUGUGGCACGGUGCCUCGGUGCCUUCUAAGGUCUCUAUUCCAAUCUUUUCUUGUUUAAAAUAAAUAAGGAAAUAUGGGCCCAUGUCUUGAGGCUUGGUUCUUCGGCAAGGCGAACACUAAGGACCUGGCAGCAGAGCAAAACCAGUAUGGCUGUGUAUUCUCUUUUAUCAGAUUUAUUUGGGGAGAUCACGCUGAUUGGGUUUUGCACGUACGUAUUUCUGACAACUCUGCGGCCAUUUGGGAAAUUCAUCAGCUCCAGCCCGUGCUGGAGGUGAUGCAGAGAAGCCUCGCAGCAGCAGGACCGUCAGGAAAUUCACUUUGCUGAGGAUUUGAACAGUAUUUUCCCCACUCUGGGUAGCAGUGACUGCUGGACAGCAAGGCGGUGAAAAUAACAGUCCCAGGCUUUCUGAAGGGUGUGGUGGUUUGCACGCUAGUGGUUUGCAUCUUAUUUCUACAUGGGUUUAACAGAGGUAUUAAGGUGGAAAGAGUUCUGGUGCAUCCUUGCUUUCCUUUCCCAUGUCUACCUGUGAAAGCCCCAGCACAGUAACUGCUGUGGUGUGGACUGAGUCCUGAAACCCUACCAAGUGUUGCACCUCCGACGGAAGGUGCUUCUCAGUCUCCUUGGACUGACCUUCCCUCUGUCUUGCCCUGACACCGCUCAAACCCUCCAGCCAACCUGGCUGUGGCAAUCGCAGCUUUCACACCACCCAAGGUCUCAGUGCACCCCAAUGGGAAUCACAGCACUCAGCAACAUCCCCCGCACCGAGCUCCCAAGUUACACACCAACCUAGAUUUUUUUUCACUGCAACCUGCCCCAGCCUGGAGAGUAUGCCUGUCAAAAAGCAAAAGUGCUAUGAAAUGAAAUUCAUAGCACUGAGAGGCAUCGCACACAAGCUGUCGUCCCCUCUCACAUUUUGCAUGAGCAAUUUCUGCUCGUUCGUGCUCUCUUACAUACAAUGUCCUGAAACAGUUACAUAAAAUGGAUAUUUAACUUACAGUAGUCAGCUGUAUUGAACUGCACUUAAUUGCUUAUUAAGUGAAGUAAAUUAUCCUUACCAUAUUCGCCAGAGGUGAAAAAUCUACAUAUAUGGCUACAUGUAGUGCAUUCAUUAGUUUACGGACCCCAAAUCCCUUGGAAAGUAUCAGAUAUCUACACAGUGUCCCAUGGUGCAGUAUUUUGUAGUUGGAUGUCUCCGCCAGCUUGCAGAUAUGUAAAAUCAUAUACAAACAGACAUCUCCCUAUUGAUUGCCUAUGUGAUGAGGCUCGUUUACUCCUGGAAACAUUUUCUGCAGUGUAUUUCAAUAAUGGAAUUUUCUUUUAAAAGUAGGAUUGAACAGGAAUAUGCAAAAUGUCAUUUAGGGUAAAACAAAUUGCUUUUAGUCAAACUACUGCACCAUUUUGCAUAAGCACCUUUCAUAGCUCUGUAUCUGUGUUGACUAAGAUACAGCUGAAGUGCAUGCAUACGUUUAUACUGAUGUGGCCCCAACAGUCAUUUUGAUUUGCCCACUGCUGCUACACAAGUCAAAUUAUUGGAAGAAAAUUAUGGAGAAAAAGCCAACAAAAUUGUUGGCAUGGUGGAGGAAGUGAAGGGUGAACAUGACUGCUAAUGAGCACAGAAAUUCUUCCACCCCUGGCUGUCACGAGGAGUCUAGAUGGUUGAAACUGCAAUAGGCAGGUGUCCACGUUCCCAUAAAAGAUUGCAGCGAUGAAUAUUAAUGGCUUAAUCACAUAACUCUUACUCUGCAGUUGCCCAAUCUCAACCUGUUCUGUGGAUAAGCUGAGUUCACUCCCCAAGCAUAUCAGCAUUGCAACUUCCACAAACACUAACUACAUGGUAUUUAAUGUAAGCUAAUAUUUUCAUGACUGUGGAUUUCAGAACUACCUCAAAUAACAAGCUUCAAUUAUUAUUUUUUUAAAAGCAUUUUCUAGACCAUAUCCUCUUCCAUCCAUAACAAUGGAGUAGAUCCUUGAUGAGUCAUGCUUGUAAUUUCCAUGUGGCAACUACUUCCACAAAGAAACAACAAGAAAAAAAAUGCAAUAGAGUUUUAUAUAAUUGUUUUAAUGCAAUUAAGCAGCUGGAAGGAAGGAGGAAAGACAGCAUCUUAGGAUCAGCCAAGUUACCUAUGUCAUAAGUGUGUGUUCUGCAGGUCACUAAUUUCCCGACUUUCUCCCCUAGAGGUAUAAUUUUCAUGCCUAUCAUGAGAAGAUAUUUAAUAUGAGACAUGGGGAGAUGAAAAGAGAAUGGUUCCUGGUAAAGCCCCAAUCAUCACAGCACUAGAUAACUCCUAGGUAGAAAACAUCUCUGCACCAUAUCUGAAAACGUGCAGCUUCAAGUGUGGUUGGAGCCACAUGAAGAAACGCUCCAAAUUUUUACAGUCACAGAAAAGUAAUGUUCAAAUCAACUUACCCAAGCAUUUCUGAAACAAGGAACUCCUUCAAAUAAAAGAAUUCCCCAGACUGCCAAUAGGAAUCAACUACACAAAAAAACCUAUCAUCUCACAUCUAUGCCAGUGCAUCGAGCGCUUUUAGAAUUUUCUACAUUCAAAGGAAAAAAAAAAGAGAGAAAAGAAAAUAUUUAACUUAAUACCAGUUGGUUGUUGCUGUGGGCAC